rnacentral:rRNA from 1 species
GAUUAUAAAUUUAAUUAUUAUUAUUGAUUUUUUAAAGUAUUAUUUUAUUUAUUAUUACAAAAGAAAAAUUUUUUUUUAUUAUAGUUUACUAGUAAAGUGAUUGAAUUUAUUUAUAUAUUAAUAAGAAAAAUUUAUUUUUUGUACCUUGUGUAUCAGGGUUGAUUAAUUUUAUAAUUAUUAUUAAUUUUUCUCGAAUUAAGAAGAGCUAAUUAUGUAUAUGUUUAAUUUUUUCAUAAAUUUUCAUAAUAUAUAAUUUGAAAUGAAAUGUUAUUCGUUUCUUAAUAUAUCUAGUUUUUUAAGAAAAGAAUUUAAUUCUCUUAUUAUUUAUUAUUAGUUAAUUUUUAGUUAAUAAUUUUUAGUAUGAAAUAAAUAAAGGGAUAAGCUUUUAUUUUGAUAAUUAAAAAUUUAUUUGGUUUUAUUUUUUGUAUAAUUUAAAUUGUUAAUCAUUUUUAUAAUAUAAUAGUUAAUUUUAUUUAAUUAAGGAUUUAUAUUUAUUUUAAUUUUUUUAUUAAAAAUUUAUGUUUAAUUUUUUAGCUUUUUUAUAAUGAUUAAAUUAGUAGAUAAAUAUGUAUUUAUUAUUUAUUUUUUAAGAUAAUAAAAAGGAACUCGGCAAAUAAAUUUUUCGCCUGUUUAUUAAAAACAUGUCUUUUUGAUUAUAAUUUAAGGUUUAAUCUGCUCAAUGAUUUAUUAAAUUGCCGCAGUAUUUUGACUGUGCAAAGGUAGCAUAAUAAUUAGCUUUUUUAUUGAAAGCUGGAAUGAAUGAUUGGACGAAAAAAUUUCUGUCUCUUUAUUAUUUAUUACUUAACUUUACUUUUAAGUUAAAAGGCUUAAAUUUUUUUAAAAGACGAGAAGACCCUAUAGAGUUUUAUUUUUGUUUUUUGAUUGAUUUUUAGAAUUUAAAAUAUUUUAUCCAAUAAAAAAUUUAGUUGGGGUGACUGAAAGAUUAAUUAAACUCUUUUAAUUGAAAUCAUUUAUUUAUGAAUAAAGAAAUUAUUUUUAUAAAUUUAAAAUAAAUUACCUUAGGGAUAACAGCGUUAUUUUUCCUUAGAGUUCUUAUUGAAAGGAAAGAUUGCGACCUCGAUGUUGGAUUAAAAUUUAUUUUUGGUGCAGAAGCUGAAAUAUUAAGUCUGUUCGACUUUUAAAAUUUUACAUGAUCUGAGUUUAAACCGGUGUAAGCCAGGUUGGUUUCUAUCUUUAAAUUUUUAAUAUAUUUUAGUACGAAAGGACCAAAUAUAUAAUAUAUUAUUUUAUUUUGAAUAAUAUU